CCAAUAGCGUAUAUUAAAGUUGUUGCAGUUAAAAAGCUCGUAGUUGAAUUUCGGGGUUAGCAGGUCGGUCGUGCCAUCGGUAUGAACUGGUCUCGCUGAUCCCUCCCUCUUGACGAACUGUGAUGCCAUUAAUUUGGUGUCGCAGGGAAUCAGGACUGUUACUUUGAAAAAAUUAGAGUGUUUAAAGCAGGCUCACGCUUGAAUACAUUAGCAUGGAAUAAUGAAAUAGGACGUUUGAUCCUAUUUUGUUGGUUUCUAGGAUUGACGUAAUGAUUAAUAGGGAUAGUUGGGGGCAUUAGUAUUCAAUUGUCAGAGGUGAAAUUCUUGGAUUUAUUGAAGACUAACUACUGCGAAAGCAUUUGCCAAGGAUGUUUUCAUUAAUCAAGAACGAAAGUUAGGGGAUCGAAGACGAUCAGAUACCGUCGUAGUCUUAACCAUAGACUAUGCCGACUAGGGAUCGGAUGAUGUUAAUUUUUUAAUGACUCAUUCGGCGCCUUACG
rnacentral:rRNA from 1 species